CAAUAGCGUAUAUUUAAGUUGUUGCAGUUAAAAAGCUCGUAGUCGGAUUUUGGCUGAGAACGAUCGGUCCGCCGUUAGGUGUGCACUGAUUGGUCUCAGCUUCCUGGUGAGGAGGUGUGCUUCACGGCCACUUAGUCACCGUGGUUACUUUGAAAAAAUUAGAGUGUUCAAAGCGGGCUUACGCUUGAAUAUAUUAGCAUGGAAUAACACCAUAGGACUCCUGUCCUAUUUCGUUGGUCUCGGGACGGGAGUAAUGAUUAAGAGGAACAGUUGGGGGCAUUCGUACUUCAUUGUCAGAGGUGAAAUUCUUGGAUUUAUGAAAGACGAACUUCUGCGAAAGCAUUUGCCAAGGAUGUUUUCAUUGA
rnacentral:rRNA from 1 species